rnacentral:rRNA from 1 species
UGCAAGUCGAGGGGUAACAGGGUAGCAAUACCGCUGACGACCCGGCGCACGGGUGAGUAACGCGUAUGCAACCUGCCUAUAACUGGGGAAUAGCUCCCUGAAAGGGGAAUUAACACCGCAUAACACUAUUGAUUCGCAUGGAUUAGUAGUUAAAUGUAGCGAUACAGGUUAUAGAUGGGCAUGCGUGACAUUAGCUAGUUGGUGAGGUAACGGCUCACCAAGGCUACGAUGUCUAGGGGUUCUGAGAGGAAGGUCCCCCACACUGGUACUGAGACACGGACCAGACUCCUACGGGAGGCAGCAGUGAGGAAUAUUGGUCAAUGGGCGCAAGCCUGAACCAGCCAUGUCGCGUGCAGGAAGACUGCCCUAUGGGUUGUAAACUGCUUUUAUAGUAGAAGAAACACAUCUACGUGUAGAUGUCUGCCAGUAUACUAUGAAUAAGCAUCGGCUAACUCCGUGCCAGCAGCCGCGGUAAUACGGAGGAUGCAAGCGUUAUCCGGAUUUAUUGGGUUUAAAGGGUGCGUAGGCGGGACUGUAAGUCAGGGGUGAAAUACUGCAGCUUAACUGUAGCAUUGCCUUUGAAACUGCCGUUCUUGAGUACAGUUGAGGUAGGCGGAAUUUGUGGUGUAGCGGUGAAAUGCAUAGAUAUCACGAGGAACACCAAUUGCGAAGGCAGCACACUAAGUCAAUAUUGACGCUGAGGCACGAAAGUGUGGGGAUCAAACAGGAUUAGAUACCCUGGUAGUCCACACUGUAAACGAUGAUAACUCGCUGCCGGCGAUACAUUGUUGGUGGCCAAGCGAAAGCAUUAAGUUAUCCACCUGGGGAGUACGACCGCAAGGUUGAAACUCAAAGGAAUUGACGG